rnacentral:rRNA from 1 species
CCUACGGGUGGCUGCAGUGAGGAAUAUUGGUCAAUGGGCGCGAGUCUGAACCAGCCAAGUAGCGUGAAGGAUGACUGCCCUAUGGGUUGUAAACUUCUUUUAUAACGGAAUAAAGUGAGUCACGUGUGCCUUUUUGUAUGUACUUUAUGAAUAAGGAUCGGCUAACUCCGUGCCAGCAGCCGCGGUAAUACGGAGGAUCCGAGCGUUAUCCGGAUUUAUUGGGUUUAAAGGGUGCGUAGAUGGAUUGUUACGUCAGUUGUGAAAUUUUGCGGCUCAACCGUAAAAUUGCAAUUGAUACUGGCAGUCUAGAGAACAGUUGAGGUAGGCGGAAUUCGUGGUGUAGCGGUGAAAUGCUUAGAUAUCACGAAGAACUCCGAGUGCGAAGGCAGCUUACUAAACUGCCACUGACAUUGAUGCUCGAAAGUGUGGGUAGCAAACAGGAUUAGAUACCCCGGUAGUC